rnacentral:rRNA from 1 species
UACGAAGGGGGCUAGCGUUGCUCGGAAUUACUGGGCGUAAAGGGAGCGUAGGCGGACAGUUAAGUCAGAGGUGAAAGCCCAGGGCUCAACCUUGGAAUUGCCUUUGAUACUGAUUGUCUUGAGUACGGGAGAGGUGUGUGGAACUCCGAGUGUAGAGGUGAAAUUCGUAGAUAUUCGGAAGAACACCAGUGGCGAAGGCGACACACUGGCCCGUUACUGACGCUGAGGCUUGAAAGCGUGGGGAGCAAACAGG